UUAUAUAUAAUAGAUUCAAACUAUCCCUAAAAAUAUCAAAAAUUUUUGUGCUUCAUACACUUAUAUAUA
rnacentral:tRNA from 1 species